GCCGCGCCCGCCUCGGGCUGGUGGUAGCUGAACGAGGCGGAGGCGAUGUCGAUGUGCCCGAGCGGCAGCGGCUCCUGCGGCCCCUUGAAGUAGUAGAGGCUAGAAUAUCAGAUUCUGUGAUUCUGCUGUCAAAAGGUGAGGACUUCUUAGUAAAUGCAGACAGUAAGAAGGGCUGAUCCUGCUUUAAUAACAGGUCAUUAUGGACAAAGUGGCCACAGGACCAAGCCUGGUAGAGUUCAAGAAGCUUUCAGACAAGGCUCUCAGGCACAGGGUGGGAUUCUUGGAGUGUCCUGUGCAGGGCCAGGAGUUGGACUCGCUGAUCCUUGUGGUCCCUUCCAACUCAGCAUAUGCUGAGGAGUUCUGUGCUUCUUCAACUUCUUCAUGAGUUCCAGGGGAUCGUAUUCAUCCACUUGACAUCACCAGCCCACAGGGUGAGG